rnacentral:lncRNA from 1 species
AUCCAUCCAAUCAUGAGCUCUACUAGAUCCUUGUAGUUAGUCUUAUCUUUUGUCUCUUUCUAGGAUCUAUCUUUUGGGCCAUGUAAUGAUGUUGACUGAUUGACUUUUAUGUUUUGGUAUAUGUAUUGGAACCACUAUGUGGUAUCAGUCACUUUUUGAUUAUAUAUAUCUACUCUUUGACUUUUAAUGUAUGACCUUCAAAUUUAGUUGCUUUCAAUUAUGUGCAUGCUUAAGAUAUUAUGAAUUAUAAUAUAUGC